AUUUUGGCGGAUGUAAAUUAAUACACUUUGACAUCAGACGACUAGUUUGCAAGGACUGCUGCGCACCUGGAUGUAGACAACAACAACAACAUCAAGAUCCAUCAGCAGCAGCCUUCAAAGGUGCAACGGACCAGAUGGCGCUGUGACAUUCAUUUUCAGUUCUGUGCAAGGAACCACCAUCAUGCCAUGGACGAUGCUGAUGUCAACAGCAGACGAACAAUUAUUCUGCAGGCCCUUCUAAUCUUCCUGCAGGAUGACCUGGAAUGUAGAAGAAAUUGACCUGCCUGACCUCUCGGAUGCAGCUGUACCUAUUCCUAUUGUUCCUGUCUCAAGUGAUACGGACUCCCUUGUGAAGUUUGCUCAUGCUAUCCAUUCUAUAGUUCUUGAGGGAGCUAUUGAGUGUGAUAUAACAGAGUUGACAGAUGCGUUAAUUUUACUGUUUGCCUUAAUUUAUGCACUUCAUGUCGAUUAUCCAAAGCAAUUGUCUUACGCAUUUAAUUUCAUUCAAAAAUGAUAAUAGGUUUGGAUGACCUGAAGUCGUUACCUCCUAGACUACUUAGCCUUAAAAAUGAAUUGCUGAUGAUGGAUGCAGUCUGUUUUCCAAAUCUCAUUGUUGGUAGUGCCAGCAUUUUAAUACUCAAGCAAGCAAUGAAGUGAAGUUUUUUAUUUAUUUAUUUUUUAUUAUUUAUGUUGGCCUUAUUAUUUUUGUUAUUUGAGUAUUUGUACCUUUGUUGACGAAAUGGUUGUUAUUUCUUUGAUUUUUUUGUAUUAACCCCAUUGCUGGGGAGGUUGUUCUGUUAGAAUUCAAAUGGAAUUCUUAAAUAAAUGGAAUGUGCAGUGAAA